CAGGAAUGCCUAUGUCAGCCAGAGCAGCCUAAGCUCUGCUGACCAUAGAAGUAGAUGUCUGGAAAUCUUAGGGGCCAGAGGAAAUCGUUCUUCGUCACGAUAAGAGAAAUCAGCAAGAGGAAGAGUUCUUCGGCUGAAAAUAAGUUAUUUACUAAGUGUUAGAAGGGGGAUAACAGUCGACGGCACCCCAUCCAAGGACACCAGAACAGAUCUAAAGUACAGAAACAAGACUUAAGCAGAGAGGCCACUAAUUAGUAAUAAGUAACAGCAAAAAUGAUGAUUCCUCCCCUAACAACUCUAUAAGGAGGACGGGGCAUUUACUUCUACUUUCUGAAUUUUGUUUUACUUUUUGGAGAAAUAACACCACAUUGAUGUCUAUUGGUUUUUGUUCCCACCUGAGGCUAAUCAGGAUCUAUAGAAGCUGGUGAGGAGCACACGAGGAGGGGGCACUUACUUCUCCCCAUGACUGUAUAUGGAGGCACAGAGAUCAGAAGUGGAAACAACUUGUGGUCUCCUCUGUGCACUGACUGCUCUGUACAGACGGCUGAUAACUACUGACAGCCGUUUUGGUUGGACGGAUGUGGGUGACAAAAUGUUCUUCACAAGACACAGAAAGGUCAUCAUCCUGAGAGAAGACACCACACAUCUUAUACUGAAGUGUCUGUAAGACCUGACACCAUUCUACAGCAUCUUAAGAAUCCCUGUGAGCGGCUAUAGACAUGAAGACUCCUGAUAACACCAAGAUCUGGACGCCUUCCUGGAAAUUCCUGAUUAUUACUGUCCUCCUAGGAGCCAAUAUUGUUCUCAUCCGUAUUAUCGAAGCACUUGUUUAUAAUCGGGAACUCUCUGAAACUAAACACUCUGAAAUUCUGCAUGAGCUCUGUAUGAACAGCAGUGACAUGCCCGGAGGUGCCUGCUGUGCUGUGUCCUGACUGUGUAUAGCGCCAGGACGUAGUGCACCGGUCACAGUGCAGAGCGGUGCCAGCAGGAGACCAGGGAGCCGUGAGAGCAGGAAGAGCCGUCCGGGGCAAGGGAGUUUGUCAGCGCCUUUAUAACCACCUAUCCAACAAAACAAAGUAAUACUGAACGUAAAGAACUACGUCAGGAGCUCUGUGUGUAUCAACGCUGACAGUGCUUCAGGUUGUCUUCUGUGUCCUAAUGGUUGGAUUCUACAUGGAGACGACUGUUAUUACUACUCAGAUGUAACAGAGAGAACAUGGAACCAGAGCCGGGAUCAGUGUGAGAUGAUGGGAGCUGAUCUACUGGUCAUAAAGAACCAGGAACAGAAGGAGUUUAUAGAGAGAGAUCUCCCUCUGUGGUGGGGAGAGAACUCAUAUUGGAUAGGACUUUACCAUGAUGGAGAUGGCUGGAGAUGGGUGGAUGGAGAACAUUAUAACAGCGGCUUUAUCCAGAUAGAGACACGACCAUCAGGACGCUGUGUAUCAAUGACUAGAUAUGGUUACUAUCAGGAGGACUGCAGAUCUACAUACAGAUGGAUCUGUCUAAAGAAAGCCGUGAGGAUCUGACCUUUAUGUAAUGUACAUGAAGCUGAAUAAAGUUAUAAAAACUUUC